AUGGGAUCAAAAUUUAAUGCAUUGUGGAAAAAUGAGUUACUUGCCCUGGGCAAAGAUGAUAAAGAUAAAGCAAUCACAGUAAGAAAUGAUUAUCCGAAGCCCCCUGUCCCUUGUUUUGAAAUCACUGAGGAUUUUGAUUUGGAAAAGGUUGAGCUUAUGCUAGAAAGGGAUAUUAAGAUCGCCAAGUCCAUGGCAAAUGACAUAAUCAUCCCAGACCCUGCUCCCAAGUGGGUGGGUGAUGCCUUCUUGGACAUAUAUGCCAAAUUGGAGCACAUCCUUGUAAAGGAUAGUGUCCGGUGCUUCCUCCGAUUUUUCGAGAACUGUGAAGGCCAGGGCAUGUCAUCUUAUCUUACCAUCACCGCACAAACCUUAACCUUCAUUGUCAGUUUCAAUGCCCUGCGAUGUGCAAAAGUCGUAUUGGAGGGCAUGGCACCUGAGCUCUAUGGGAUGCACGCCAAUCCCAACUGCAUAAACAAAUAUGGAUACUUCGUGCUCCAUGAAGCUGCUGAAAGGUUCUCUGUUGACAUGAUCAAGCUGCUUUUACGCCAUGGUGCAUCACCCAAUGUGCGCACAGUUGGCAAUGAUGUCAUCGAGAAUCUACUCCCGCUCCAUGUCGCAGUUGAGAAUACUUGCCUGCAUAAGUAUCUGGAGGACAAUCUGGAGGACAAUCCUUAAUCAUGAGGAUAUGUCUACAAGCUUAUUCAUCUGCUGUGUCUACCUGAAAUGAAGAUCUUCUUGGACACAAUUAGACUGCUUGCAGAGAAAACAAAUAAUCUACUCGAAGAGCUCUGGAAUUAUAUUGAGGAUGGAAAAAUUAUCCAGUCUGCUGUUCUACUACUGGCUGCUCAAGAGCAGAUCCGUGGGGUUAGUUCUUCCAAGAUAAAUGGCAGUAGUAAGAAAAAUUUUGAAAUCAUCGAGAAGUGUAUAACGAGGCAUUCAUAUGCCUUGAGAAACGAGAAAGGUUCACUUGGAAUGGUACAGGAGCUUCUGGAGGAAAGGAAGACGCUUAACGAUUGUGCAUGGCUGCUUGUUGAUGUAAUUUCCCAUGCCGGUGAAGAUCUUUCUGCAUACAUUCAAGCGCAUUCUGUGGUGUCCCAUGUGGAGGUCUUUCAACAUGUUUCAUCUAUUCUCAAGGAGUGUGGAUUUUGCCCUACUGGAGAUCUUAUGGACACUAUAAACCUCCAGCCUUAUGACUGCAGAAAGUCAAACGGAGAGUCAUGCAAAGGGCUUACAGAUGCAAACAUGGCAGUUAUGGAAUCAGCCAAGCUGAAUGCUGCAGAGAAGAAGGCUGUGAGAAAGAAAGUAGGCGGAGGAUGGGAUCCCACGUAUACAAAGAGAAGCUUUUUCCCAUAUUGGAGAUCAGUGUUACAAGCUCGGGUUCCUUUGAAGGUGUAUCCAGCCCAUGCAAGCUCAGAUCCUAGGUCUCGUGUUAACCAUGGACAACUCCAUGUCUCUCUGAGUAACUCAAUAGCCAAUGGAUCUACAACAACUCCAAAUCAUAAACUUGGUCCAGUGCGAAGAACCUCGCCACUUACAAGCAAUAAUCAACCCAGAAGGUGCUUUGUCACUGCUGCUACUGGUGCAUUCAGGCUCUUGAAGGUGCUAAAGUAG
rnacentral:rRNA from 1 species